GAUGAACGCUGGCGGCGUGCCUAAUGCAUGCAAGUCGAGCGACGCAUACGGAAGGGGUAACCCAUCUGUAUGACGGAGCGGCGAACGGGUGAGUAACACGUGAGCAACCUGCCCCACAGAUCGGGAUAGCCCAGGGAAACCUGGAUUAAUACCGGAUACCCUCGGAGGAUCGCAUGGUCCGUCGAGGAAAUGCCUUUGUGCUGUGGGAUGGGCUCGCGGCUUAUCAGCUAGUUGGUGGGGUAACGGCCUACCAAGGCGUCGACGAGUAGCUGGUCUGAGAGGACGAUCAGCCACACUGGGACUGAGACACGGCCCAGACUCCUACGGGAGGCAGCAGCAGGGAAUUUUGCGCAAUGGACGAAAGUCUGACGCAGCAACGCCGCGUGGGGGGAUGAAAGGCCCUUUCGGGUUGUAAAACCCCCGUUUUCAGGAGGGAAGAAAAUGACGGUACCUCCAGAAGAAGCACCGGCCAACUACGUGCCAGCAGCCGCGGUAAUACGUAGGGUGCGAGCGUUAUCCGGAAUCAUUGGGCGUAAAGAGCUCGUAGGCGGUUCAGCAAGUCGGCUGUGAAAUUCUGGGGCUCAACCCCAGGACUGCAGUCGAUACUGGCUGUGA
rnacentral:rRNA from 1 species